ensembl:lncRNA
CUCGAGGAUAAUUCCUUAACCGAAGGGAAAGAAGGGAAGAGCGCCGGGGAGAGCUCGCUUUCAGGUGGGGCUUGGACUGCCCCCGGGACAAAGGCAGCUUGAGAGAAAAAGCAGUGACAUCUGGGUGCUCUUGAAGACACACUUUGAGUUUGUUUUCAGCUGGGCCUUAACCAAAGAUCCAACAGCACCGAAGGCAAGUUCUGGCUGCCAAGAAGGGAGCUGCAGGGUUGAAGCAUCCUCUCCCAGCCUCCUCCCACAGGACCAAGUCCUCACCAUCAGUUUUCUCUGUCUUUAAAAAACAACUUUUUUCUUUAUAUAUAUAUAUAUUUCAUUGAAGUAUAAUUGACUUACAAUGUUUCAAGUGCACAGCAAGGUGAUUCAGUUAUAAAUAUACACACAAUAUAAAUAUACAUAUAAAUAUACACAUAUAAAUAUAUACAUAUCAGAGAAGGCAAUGGCACCCCACUCCAGU